UGGGGAAUAUUGGACAAUGGGCGAAAGCCUGAUCCAGCCAUGCCGCGUGAGUGAUGAAGGCCUUAGGGUUGUAAAGCUCUUUCGCUGGGGAAGAUAAUGACGGUACCCAGAGAAGAAGCCCCGGCUAACUUCGUGCCAGCAGCCGCGGUAAUACGAAGGGGGCUAGCGUUGUUCGGAAUUACUGGGCGUAAAGCGCACGUAGGCGGACCUGUUAGUCAGAGGUGAAAUCCCGAAGCUUAACUUCGGAACUGCCUUUGAUACUGCAGGUCUUGAGGUCGAGAGAGGUGAGUGGAACUGCGAGUGUAGAGGUGAAAUUCGUAGAUAUUCGCAAGAACACCAGUGGCGAAGGCGGCUCACUGGCUCGAUUCUGACGCUGAGGUGCGAAAGCGUGGGGAGCAAACAGG
rnacentral:rRNA from 1 species